UCCGAAGAUAUCAGGAUCAGGCCUUGGCUGAUUGCAAAAUUGUUCACCGUGAAAAUUAAAUAUUGCACUCUCCCCGGCCUGAUCUGAGAGUAAGGCG
ensembl:miRNA mir-235 ncRNA